CGUGGGCAGGGUAGCCUUGAUAUCAGGGCAGGUGCUGACAACGGACAAACUCCUCUUCAGUAAAAGGGAAACCAACUGGAGUGUGGCUUACCCUCAUUUCCUGGUAUCUAAACUCAUUUUUCCUGCUGGCUUUGCUGGGCAAGAGAGCCCUGUUGCAGAGGUUGCAAGAGGGAGGUGACAUCAGAGGCUCAGCCAUCCCUCCCAAGGAGAGGAGGCUCAGAAUUCUUGUCCUCAGUCCUAAGGCCACAGCAUUCAGCUGGGGCUCUACCGUCUCACUGUAACCAUGAUCCCCACAAUGCUUUGUGUGAUGCUUUGCCUGCUAAGAGCAGACCUAACAGAUGCUGGGAUCACCCAGACACCGAGAUACUGGAUCACCCAGACAGGAAGAAAGAUGGUCCUGGGGUGCUCUCAGAAUAUGGACCACUAUGGGAUGUUCUGGUAUCGACAAGAUGCAGGACAGGGGGUGUUAAGGCUGAUCCACUACUCAGGAAGUGUUGGCAGCACUACCGAAGGAGAUGUCCCGGAAGGGUACAGUGUCUCCAGAAACAAGAUCGACCAUUUCCCCCUGACGUUAGACUCAGCCAGACCCAGCCAGACGUCCAUGUACUUCUGCGCCAGCAGUGAACACAGCACCGCACAGCCAGGUGUUGCCUGCACAAGAAGGACGACCAUGAGGUUGAUAUGGGCCCUGCUGCGUCAGUCCCCGCCCCCGCCCCAACCAAAGAAAACUUCCUGA